rnacentral:rRNA from 1 species
UACGUAGGGUGCAAGCGUUGUCCGGAAUUAUUGGGCGUAAAGAGCUCGUAGGCGGUCUGUCGCGUCGGAUGUGAAAAUCCAGGGCUCAACCCUGGACCUGCAUUCGAUACGGGCAGACUAGAGUUCGGUAGGGGAGACUGGAAUUCCUGGUGUAGCGGUGAAAUGCGCAGAUAUCAGGAGGAACACCGGUGGCGAAGGCGGUUCUCUGGGCAUUACCUGACGCUGAGGAGCGAAAGCAUGGGGAGCGAACAGG